AAUUAUCAAGCUGGGAUUGGCUUCAUUGCUGUCUUGGUUUGGAUUUGGACUCUGCUGUGUCACUACGGCUGGUCUUAAAAGUAUUAGCUGGCUCUUGAUUAUGAGUUUGGUUCUACUUGGCGUGAUAAUAUCUGACCGCUGAGGACAUCUUUUGGGAUGGCCAGGCUUCUUUCUAUGAGCUGCUUCUAACUCUGGUUGAUGGAUUUGGUUGUAUGACUGAAUCUGUUCCACUUUCCGAC
rnacentral:misc_RNA from 1 species